CCCUGCGAUCAUAUGAUUGAUGUCAAUUAGCAAAUAGUUGUGAUCAUUCUUGCUAGUGCACGGCUGUCCCAAAGGUACAAACUGCAAGAGACGUUUACAUUCUAACAGUAAAUAAUAACAUUUUUUUCCUAUGUCAAUCAGGGGGCUACUUUCAGUAGCUAAAGGGAGAAAACCACAUUCCUUCCUAAUGUGUUCAGUUUAGUCACCAGAAAUCAUUUGAAGCAGCUUCCCUUGGCUGACUUAUUUUGCUUCAGCCGAAAUUAACUUUGUCAUGCUCAAGAAUGGAAAAUCAUCAUAGACAGUUCACAGUUAAAAAUUCAGCAAUCUUCCUUAAAAUCAUAAAUAAAGGUGUCGACUGGUGAAAUGAAAUCACUACCUAUACCGCAAUCGGCUUAGCAUGCAUCUCACUAUAGAAAAGUCGAGAAAAAAGUUAUAUAGCUAAGCAAUAUGCAACAUCUGACAUUAUUGUAUUUACUUAAAGAACUGAUAGAUUGUGUUCAUUGGCUAUUUUCUUUGAACGAAUUGCAGUUGAAAUCAUCAACAACCAUCCUGCGUUUUAAUCUAAUAAGCUUGAAGAACUCACAGCAAUAUGACUUAUGUAAUUAGUUCAGAAAAAUGAAUUAUUUACAUGCAUACAAAUUUAUAACUAUUUGACCUAAACAAAUAUUCAUAUUGGGGUUAUCAGCCACAGAAAGAAACGUUGGUUUUCUUCUGAGUCGUAUAUCAGCUGACACAUAUUGUUAGAUGAAGAAUCAGGAUGUGAUCCAUGUGCAAAAUUUAGGCCAACCUAGGUAUCGACUUAUGUUUCCACUUUCCACCAAACUGAGAGGAAUUGAUAUGAACCAGCACACACCAAUGACAUGAUUUUAUACUUUUCUCUUGCACUGAUAACCUUCGGGAUUUGCAAGAAUAGCAUCUUAGAUCUAACAUUCUAGAACAGUAGACUUGACCACUACAUAUGAUAUCAUAUAAAGGUACUCGAGCACAGAUUAAUAAAUAGUUUCAUAAGAAUAGAACUUAUGCCAAAUUAAUCAGAAGGCAUGUGAGAAAACACAAAUUAAGGUUGCCUCCCAAUUAGAUGACAAUACCAUCUACACUAACUAGAUUGCAGUUGAUGCAGCACAUAAGUUUUUAGUUAAGACCAUCAUAUGUUGACAUUAAUGCAUAUGAGAAAUUCCAUACUGUGAUACCAAUCAGCUCCAUGAAAAUAGAUCUGAUUCAGUUGGGAAGCAACGUCACCAUGGUAGUAGGUGUAUAUCGUGUGAAUUUUGUCUUCAAGGACAAGUUUUAUUAGUGAUGAUAAUGAAUCAAAGAUUAGAAAGUGUCUCCUGCUGCCACCACUUUCUAGAUGAACCAUUGUUAAAAAUGUUCAAUGCAUUUGAAGACCAGCUACCAAACUCCAUUUGUAAUUAUUGUGCGGUAAAAGAACUUGAUGCUUCAGUAUGCAUUCAGCUUGACACAGAACAACCAACAACUCAAAGAUGUCAAAUAAUUACUGGCAUAGUACGUAGCUCAUAGUCUUCUUAAGCCUACUUUCUUCAGCCUACAAUGGGAAAAUAGCAAUCAAUAUCAACCAUGAAAAGAUAUGAAAUUUCAAAUUUGCACAAUACAAGUAUGUCCCUGAUUAUCAUUUACAUAAUUCACACUUGAAUGACUGCUAUAGAUAAUCAAUGUUCAUAUAAAGAAUACAGAUCAAAUCUAAAGCAGAAACAAGAAGGUAUAGGAUUUGAUCUCUCCAACCAAAGUGUCAUACCUCAUACUUUAGAUUACCCAUAUCCGUGACAGUUUAGGGAAAAAGAGUUGUGGAGUAUCCAAGAUCAAAAUAACACCCAAAUGCAUGUCUGCAACACCCAAUGCAGAGUGAAAACAAAUCUGGAUAGCAUGAUUGGUGAAUCAAAUGACAAAAAGCUUAUGACUGCAUUGAAGAUUCCAAUAGUUUAACAAGAAAGUGAAUACUGGAGACCCCAUUAGUAGAAUAUUCACCUGUAAUAGGUAGAUCAUAUAAGGGAGAAUUUCCUACAGAUUGAUUCUGAAUGCUAGAAAUUUUAGGUGGGGGUAAAACCACUAACAUUCUUACUUGCGUUUUUGCCUGAAGAGGAUGAUCCCACUAUUUCAAUUAACCGACCAUCUCACAGACCUCCUCCAAAGAGGAGGUCAAUCCUGACCACUCAUGAAGCAACAAAAAUCAUCAUAUUGUUCAAGAGAGAACAUUCGGUGGAACGUUAUGAACUCUACUAGAGGCUAGGGAUUAAAUUCAAGAUACCCUUCACAUCCACUGAGAAGAACUAGCCUCUUCCACUCAGCAUCAUCUAACCAUGGUGGUCAUUAACACCUCUUCGAUGCCCUGUUUUAUUAUGUUAGAUUAACAUAUUUUGUUAGGUUAGUGCUUACGGUUAAUGGGAAAAAAAGAUAUCAAUUUACGCCAAUUCACGAAUCUAAAUAAACAGAAUGAAAAUCUUAGGAAAAAGGAUAUGCAAUCUUUUAAAAUUAUAUAUGAAAUAGUUAUCAAUUUCUAGAUAUCACUCACGAAGACAUAAACAAAAUAACAGAACAUUCAACCUGGACUAGUUGACGAAAAGACCAAGUUUCUCUGAUCUAUGGAGAAGCGCAUUGGUUGAAGAACCCUACCACAUCCUCGCUUGGAACAGAUCCUGAGCCAGGGUUUCGAGGUCGACACAUAGCUAGAAGG
rnacentral:lncRNA from 1 species